ensembl:lincRNA
CAUUUAGCUAACCAUGCUACUUUUCCUCUUUUAUAUUCUCUCUGCCUUUAAUUCAGGUAACAGUGGAAAGCUGGAACUUGGCCAUUUUCCUGCACAGUCCCCUUAUGCAGAACCUUUUUCCGCUGAGGUGAAGGAAUUCCUCUGCUGCCAUCUAGUGCUUCUUAGAAAGACCUUUGCCAGUUUUAGUCAGAUGAAUACCUCUGAGAACCUGCCAAUCCAAGAAUAUUGCCCGUGGAUCAAGCAGAGUUUGGGUCAAAGUGUUUCAGGAAAAGGAGCAUCAUGCGUGAAGGUCCCAACAUGGUACGGUUGGCGUAUUUGAGAAUGGAAAUAAGAUCACUGUAAAGAACAGCCCAGUUUGAGGUUGCAGAAGUACAGAGAGCCCAGAUUGUAGAAGGCCUUGUAGACUUCAGUGAGGACUGGGGUAUUUAUUGUAAGGACAAUGAGAAACCACUGACAGAUUUCAAAACAGCCAUGAUUCCCUAAACAUUUAAUCAUUAAAAGAUCAGAUUGGUUAUAUUAUGGAGACUCAAUGAGAAAGAGUAGAUAUAAAGCAGAUCAGUUAGAAAGUUAUUCCAGGAGUCCCGUUGGGAUGUGGUGCUGUCUUGGUGGUAAUAAAAAUAAAGACAAUUUCACAGAUUUAAUAAGUGCAUGGGAAGUCAAAUUGAUAUGGUAUUGUGGUUACUGAUCAGACUUCAAUAAACCAAAAGGCCGUGGUGCCAAGGGCCAUCCCUAGAACCAGCCUGUAGCAUUCAUGCCCCAGCCUGCUCUGACUACAAAGCUGAUGCUCUAUAAAAAUCCAAUCUUCUUCCA